UACAGAGGUCCCAAGCGUUGUUCGGAUUCACUGGGCGUAAAGGGUGCGUAGGCGGUCUGGUAAGUCUGAUGUGAAAUCUCACAGCUUAACUGUGAAACUGCAUUGGAUACUAUCCGGCUCGAGGAAUGGAGGGGAGACUGGAAUACUUGGUGUAGCAGUGAAUUGCGUAGAUAUCUAGUGGAACACCAGUGGCGAAGGCGAGUCUCUGGACAUUUCCUGACGCUGAGGCACGAAAGCCAGGGGAGCAAACGGG
rnacentral:rRNA from 1 species